AGAGUUUGAUCCUGGCUCAGGAUGAACGCUAGCUACAGGCUUAACACAUGCAAGUCGAGGGGCAGCAUGGUCUUAGCUUGCUAAGGCCGAUGGCGACCGGCGCACGGGUGAGUAACACGUAUCCAACCUGCCGUCUACUCUUGGACAGCCUUCUGAAAGGAAGAUUAAUACAAGAUGGCAUCAUGAGUCCGCAUGUUCACAUGAUUAAAGGUAUUCCGGUAGACGAUGGGGAUGCGUUCCAUUAGAUAGUAGGCGGGGUAACGGCCCACCUAGUCUUCGAUGGAUAGGGGUUCUGAGAGGAAGGUCCCCCACAUUGGAACUGAGACACGGUCCAAACUCCUACGGGAGGCAGCAGUGAGGAAUAUUGGUCAAUGGGCGAGAGCCUGAACCAGCCAAGUAGCGUGAAGGAUGACUGCCCUAUGGGUUGUAAACUUCUUUUAUAAAGGAAUAAAGUCGGGUAUGCAUACCCGUUUGCAUGUACUUUAUGAAUAAGGAUCGGCUAACUCCGUGCCAGCAGCCGCGGUAAUACGGAGGAUCCGAGCGUUAUCCGGAUUUAUCGGGUUUAAAGGGAGCGUAGAUGGAUGUUUAAGUCAGUUGUGAAAGUUUGCGGCUCAACCGUAAAAUUGCAGUUGAUACUGGAUAUCUUGAGUGCAGUUGAGGCAGGCGGAAUUCGUGGUGUAGCGGUGAAAUGCUUAGAUAUCACGAAGAACUCCGAUUGCGAAGGCAGCCUGCUAAGCUGCAACUGACAUUGAGGCUCGAAAGUGUGGGUAUCAAACAGGAUUAGAUACCCUGGUAGUCCACACGGUAAACGAUGAAUACUCGCUGUUUGCGAUAUACGGCAAGCGGCCAAGCGAAAGCGUUAAGUAUUCCACCUGGGGAGUACGCCGGCAACGGUGAAACUCAAAGGAAUUGACGGGGGCCCGCACAAGCGGAGGAACAUGUGGUUUAAUUCGAUGAUACGCGAGGAACCUUACCCGGGCUUAAAUUGCAGAUGAAUUACGGUUGAAAGCCGUAAGCCGCAAGGCAUCCUUGAAAGUGCUUCCAUGGUUGUCCUCCACCUCCUGCCCGGGAGGGUGCCGGCUUAAGUGGCCAUAACGAAGCGCAACCUUUGUUGGUCAGUUACUAACAAGGUUCUGGUGGAGGACUCUGGACAAGACUGCCCUUCUUAAUAAUUGGAAGGAAGGUGGGGGAUGAAGUCUAAAUUACAAACGGGCCCUUUAUGUCCGGGGCUACACACGUGUUACAAUGGGGGGUACAGAGGGCCGCUACCACGCGAGUGGAUGCCAAUCCCAAAAACCUCUCUCAGUUCGGACUGGAGUCUGCAACCCGACUCCACGAAGCUGGAUUCGCUAGUAAUCGCGCAUCAGCCACGGCGCGGUGAAUACGUUCCCGGGCCUUGCACACACCGCCCGUC
rnacentral:rRNA from 1 species